rnacentral:rRNA from 1 species
GAUCCUGGCUCAGGAUGAACGCUGGCGGCGUGCCUAACACAUGCAAGUCGAGCGAACUUCUUCGGAAGUGAGCGGCGGACGGGUGAGUAACGCGUGGGUAACCUGCCCUAUACACACGGAUAACGUACCGAAAGGUACGCUAAUACGAGAUAACAUAUUUUUAUCGCAUGGUAAGAAUAUCAAAGCUCCGGCGGUAUAGGAUGGACCCGCGUCUAAUUAGCUAGUUGGUAAGGUAACGGCUUACCAAGGCGACGAU